rnacentral:lncRNA from 1 species
ACUCAAGAAACAUAUCAUCCCUUGGCUCAUCUUUCGCUCUAGAGAAGGUAUUUGCUUGGGGCACGUUCAGGUAAGAUCCCAUUGAAUUCCCAAAGCCAUAAUUCCCAGCUGGAUCCUGCAACAUUUUUAGAGUAUAUGGAGCUUGUUGCCCUUCAGGUGGUGGUGCCCUAAAGCUUCGAACUGGAAUUGGAUAGUUCGAUUGAUGAGACAUUACUGAAGGCCUUACGGCCAUGGGUGCAUUGCUGCUAGGCACAGGCCUGUUGGCUGAAUUGCUACCACUACCACGAGCAGCAGGCACGUCGUGGUUGUGCUUGCCCUCGUAUGUUGUUAUCACCGCC